rnacentral:tRNA from 1 species
GACGAGGUGGCCGAGUGGUUAAGGGCGAUGCACUGCUAAUCCAUUGUGCUCUGCACGCGUGGGUACGAAUCCCAUCCUCGUCG